CUUUGGUUUAUUGGAGUCCGUACAAGUGCCAUGGAUAACUGUGGUAAUUCUAGAGCUAAUACAUGCAAUUAAGCGCUGACCCUUCGGGGAAAGCGUGCUUUUAUUAGGAGCAAGGCCAGCCCGGAGGGUUCUCCUUUCGGUCUCUGCUGGUGAACUCUAGAUAACAAUGCCGAUCGCACGGUCUUGCACCGGCGAUGCUUCCUUCAAAAGUCUGCUCUAUCAACUGUCGAUGGUACGUUAUGCGCUUAUCAUGGUAAUGACGGGUAACGGAGAAUCAGGGUUCGAUUCCGGAGAGGGAGCCUGAGAAACGGCUACCACAUCCAAGGAAGGCAGCAGGCACGCAAAUUACCCACUCCUGACACGGGGAGGUAGUGACAAAAAAUAACGAUACAGGCCUCUUCGGAGGCUCUGUGAUCGGAAUGAGUACACUUUAAAUUCUUUAACGAGGAUCUACUGGAGGGCAAGUCUGGUGCCAGCAGCCGCGGUAAUUCCAGCUCCAGCAGCGUAUAUUAAAGCUGCUGCAGUUAAAAGGCUCGUAGUUGGAUUUCUGGCUGGGGCGGGCGGUCCGCCGUGAGGCGAGCACUGCCCGUUUCUCUGUGCCUGUUAGGGUGCGGUAGAAUUUCCUGGCCAGUCAUCCGGUUGAUCGUGCGGUGCUCUUAAUUGAGUUGCCGUGCGAGAUUGGAACGUUUACUUUGAGAAAAAUUGAGUGUUCAAAGCAGGCCAGAGUGCCCGAACAGCUCAGCAUGGAAUAAUGGAACAGGACUUCGGUUCUAUUUCGUUGGUCUAAGGGACCAGAGGUAAUGAUCAAGAGGGACUGCCGGGGGCAUUCGUAUUGUGGCGUGAGAGGUGAAAUUCUUGGAUCGUCGCAAGACGCCCGACAGCGAAAGCAUUUGCCAAGAAUGUCUUCAUUGAUCAAGAACGAAAGUCGGAGGAUCGAAGGCGAUCAGAUACCGCCCUAGUUCCGACCAUAAACGAUACUAACUCGUAAUCCGCCGGCGUUCCUCCCAUGACGCGGCGGGCAACCUUCGGGAAACCAAAGUGUUUGGGUUCCGGGGGAAGUAUGGUUGCAAAGCUGAAACUUAAAGGAAUUGACGGAAGGGCACCACCAGGAGUGGAGCCUGCGGCUUAA
rnacentral:rRNA from 1 species